rnacentral:rRNA from 1 species
AGUGAACGCUGGCGGUAGGCCUAACACAUGCAAGCCGAACGGCAGCACAGUAAGAGCUUGCUCUUACGGGUGGCGAGUGGCGGACGGGUGCGGAAUACAUCGGAAUCUACUUUUUCGUGGGGGAUAAGGUAGGGAAACUUACGCUAAUACCUGAUACGACCUCCGGGUGAAAGCAGGGGAUCUUCUGACCUUGCGCGAUUGAAUGAGCCGAUGUCGGCUUAGCUAGUUGGCGGGGUAAAGGCCCACCAAGGCGACGAUCCGUAGCUGGUCUGAGAGGAUGAUCAGCCACACUGGAACUGAGACACGGUCCAGACUCCUACGGGAGGCAGCAGUGGGGAAUAUUGGACAAUGGGCGCAAGCCUGAUCCAGCCAUACCGCGUGGGGGAAGAAGGCCUUCGGGUUGUAAAGCCCUUUUGUUAGGAAAGAAAAGCAGCAGGUUAAUACCCCGCUGUUCUGACGGUACCCAAAGAAUAAGCACCGGCUAACUUCGUG